rnacentral:lncRNA from 1 species
GGGGAGGAAAAGAAAGCCACAGACUGUGGCUCACUGAAAAGAAAAUUCCUCAUAUGAUUAGGAGCAUUUUAUCCAUCGUUUCACCCCCUCUCAAAUUAGUCCAAUGUCUCCUCUGUACUUGUUAUGCACCAUCGUUUUCUGCCAAUUAGCAUGGAGCGUAGUUGUCUCAGUGCUGGAAGGGCCUGGUGUGGGGUAGGCAGGAAGGCGAUGUAACCGUGGUGGUCAGCUACCAGACAGCUCACAUCAGCCCACCCCAUUAGGGACAUCCGUGCACAGCUCUCUGCAUCAGGAUGCUCUCAUUUACCGCCUCCACAUCCAGCCAUUUAUCUCUCUUUCCUCUGCUCUCACUGGCUUCUCUCUCCCUCUCUUUUUAAUUUUCCUCUCAAAAACAGAUCCCACAUUAAGCAGCCGAGCAUGGCUGGCUGCAGCGCCUCUCCUCAAAGAGCAAAGGAAUGAUUUAAUUUCUCCUCCUCUCUGCGUCUGCGGCCUCCUCUCCCAGCUCAUACACAGAUCAUUACACACAGAGGCCUCAUUUUCAUCUCCCUGUGAGGGCACAUGCAGGGCUUUAACUAGUCAGCCACGCCAUGGCCAUUGCUGACGAUCAAUACCUGUGGUCAGAAAGGAGCACGCGGCACUUCCUAAAUAGGCCCUGCAGGUCCAGCCAUAAAACACCUAAGAGGCCGUACAUGCCACCCCAUAAAUCGCCCCCUUCUUUUUCCUUGGCUUUCAUUCUUAUGAAGGAGUAAGGGACGCCAAGCCUAUUUUGGAGCGGUUUCCCAUUGAGCUGAUAAUGAUGAGUAAAAGGUCAUGAUACCAUCUACAAAAUACUGCUGCGCUGAAGAUUUGGGGCAAAAGUUCACUCCGAAUGAGUCUGUCGGCGUGAGAAUGUGAUGGAAACGGGUUGGAAGCAGCUAAAUAAUGUGCAUUUGAUAAGAACCAUGUGUUAGAGAUACAUGUCCACUGUUUUGGUGUGGGAUGACAAUAGCCAUGUUUAGAAAAUCUGUGCAAAAUCAAACAAUCCGAUCAUGACGUGCGUAUACAUACACCAAGCUUUAUUCAGAUUAGAAUCAUUUGGACAUGCGUAAAGUUGUCUGAUUUCGCCAAAACAACCGCAGAAGAAGAAGCGUUGUAUUUACGCCUGUGCUGUCAACAAACUGACAAACGCCUCUUAUUGGCUAGAAGUGCUGGGCUCUGAUUGGUUAUUCCUUAUGGCUGUGAAACGUCAUCAUCUGUCGGGUUAGGGUUAGAAUUAGGGUUAGGAGAUUCAGAAUUGCAAUGAUGUUCUGUAAUGUUCUGUUCGAUGUACAGAGCCAACAGCCUGCGUUUGGCUUGAGCAUGUGAUGACGUUUCUAGCUUUUCUAGCCAAUCAGAGGCGAAGGAGGCGGGACUUUCCCCUACCAUCGUACAAAAAAAAAUAUUGCUUACCGGAGGAGCACACACGCUACCUGCGGUUGUGUUUAUGCCAGAAUGUCAAUAAUGAAACCUCCUGUCCUGGUCUCAAUAAAGAAGCCAAUAGCUAAAGAGUGAAAAUCACUAUCGGAUUAAGUGUUGGACGCGUUUCGGAAUAACGAUCGGCAUAAUCCACCCCUCUUGAUCAGAAUACAAUUUCUUUCAGAUUGAGCCUAACUGGAUCAGAAUUUUCCGAUCGACAUGUUUACAUGACGCAUUUUUAUUCCGAUCAGGCAUUUAUUCCGAUUAUUUGUUCCCAUGUAAACGCAGCUACUGACAACACACCUGUUUGUCCUCAACAACAAAAACAGCUGCGUGUCAAAUGUAUGCCACACACAUUUGAAGGACAUAGUUUGUAAUCUUCUAAAACACCAGGGCCUGUGGAGGUGGUUUAAUUUAAACCCUCAACUGAGAAGCACUAAUGAGAUUUUACUCAGUUGAAACCUAAAUGAAACUGCGAUAAGCUCAGAGGAAUAGUCAGAACAAGUUUUUCUGUACGGUCCCUGUUUAGUUUGUGGAUUGCGAGACUGGAAUCAGUGAUAUAUGGACCAGAUGAGCAUUAGCCUGGGGGUUGGUAGACAGAGACAGAAAAAUGGAUGUGUUUCUCAUCUUGCCUUCGCCUCCGAGGCUCUCAGCUGGCCUGAUCCCUACAUUAAACAAACAGAUAGCCAACAACUUUAAUUACCUUUGCAUCCAGUCGCUCUCCCCAUCCACCACUCCCCACUACGCUUGUGCAAAUGAAAGAAAGAGAGAGAUGGAAGGAAAAGAAGCAUAAUUACUUAUUUUACUGGAGUGCGGCAGAAUGCCUUUUGCCAAAUGACUCUAAUUCCAAAUGGUUAACAAGAUUUUUCUUUUUAAUAGAGCUGAAUCCAUGUGACAGCAAAUUGCUUUCCUAUUUGGGGCCUUAAUGGCUUUUCAUACUUUGCACUUCCAAUAAGCAGUAAACUCGGAAAUUAAUAUUGCACACUGUGUUAUGAUGCAAAUGGGAGCGAGAUAGGAGAGCACAAACCUCUGAUUAGAUUUGUAAUUGCUCUGGUGGGAUGAUUUUUUCUGUUUGUUGGAGCUUAUUUAUUUAUUUGUAUAAUUUCUGUCCACACGCUUCACUCCGGCAUCAUUAUCAGUGGCACAUCUGCAUCCCCGUAUGUUAUAUUUCACUUUUGAAUGACUUUUAAUCAGUUGUUAUAGCAGAUAAACAUAUUCAGAAACUCUAACAGAGGGUGAUAUCUGUAGCUCUACCAUCCUGCUACAAAGCUUUGCUCUUUUGCUUUGAAUUAAGUGAAUCGCUAAGAAAAAAAAAUCCUCUUUUCAAGUACAUCCUCAAUUAGAUUUUGUCUUCCAUUUGCGACCAAUAAUAAGACUGAAUGGCCAAUUUUUGCUCAUCUCUGGUUUGAGAGUAGAUUUGUAUGAGUCUGCUGUUGACUGGCACAGUUGUGUCCUAUCUUACUUCCAGUCCAAGCAGGCACAAUCUAAAAAGAUAUAUUUGCGUAGGGUGUUUCUUAAUUAACUUUUGAUCCAAGUCAUUUCAUUUCCAAUUCCAUCUUACACAUUUUCAAAUAUUAAUCUUAGUCUAUGCAUAAGGUAUUGUAUUCUUAAUAAGGGGGGGAUCACUGAAUGGGACACAGCUCACACAGCACAUGCAGGUACAGAGGCGCUCAGUGAACAGACACAGAUCAGAAAGUGUGCACUAUAAUUUAGCUGUAGCAGACAUAACACCCCUCCCAACAGCACUUUGACUGGUUGAGCUUUUCUCGCAUGUCACCCAAUUGUACCAUCAAAUUGCGUGGUUCAUUUUAUUUUGCUUGUGCAUGUUAAGUUCUUGUAUGUUUCUCUGGCUUGUUUCCAAAAGCCUCCUUAGAAUACCUGCCAACACUCCCGUUUUUCCCGUGACUCUUCCGUAUUUCAGACCUAUCUCCCGCCCACCUCCCGUAUUGUCAUUUAUCCCGGGAAUCUCUCAUUGUUUGCACGGUCCACAUUCAUUCAUGAAUCGGCUCACUAUACUUGUCCAAAGUUGCCAGGUUUCCAGGCAACCAAAGUUUCUGCUGAGCCUCAAAGACACUGGAUUGAUACUUUUACUUCACAAUUUGGGAUGAUUCAGGUCGGUUUAAACUGUAAACUACAUUUAAGCGGUGUUUGUUGCAAAAUAAACACUUCAAUAAAAGGGAAACAAACGUGAGAUAUAAUAUUUACGUUGAUAGUCUUGCACCGUCUCGGAGUGAUGCGUUCAGGGCAGCCUCAGAUAAAAAAUUGCUGCAUUGCGCGCACAGAUGUUCAGAGAGCCUCAUACGGGAGAGCAUGUAAAACAUAUGAGGACUUUAACUUCAAUAUUAGUCGACUAAAUAACUUCAAGACAUAUCUUACUUACUUACUUAUACUGAUUUGGAUGAGUAAUUCAAUUACAAAUAUUUUCAUAAUUAGCUCAUUUCCACCAUACAAGGUAAACCCAAACUGCUUGGCGCGCGCCACAAAAAUCUCCCAGAUUUCAUAACCCAAAUGUUGGCAGGUAUGCUCCUUAAAUUUCAGAUCUUUUAGGUAUUCUAUGUUGGUCCCUGGCUGUCAUUUGGAAAAUACGGGUUCAAAAUGUCCCAGGGUUUGGGCUGAAAGGCUGAGCUUUGGCUGCUCAAGACACUCAACGAGGUCUGACCUGCGGACAGAUAUAGUAAAUAAAUUCAGCCAGAUUGGACGGCAAUUGCAGCCAGUAAUUGAGGUUAAGUGUCCUUUGGUGAGCAGGGCCUGAGCAACGGUUCAGCAAGAUAGUGGUCACAUGACCGUACACACAUUUAGUCUGAUUCUUUGGCUUUAUCACCAUGGCAACCCUUCAUUUCUUCAUCGCGCGCACCCAUUUCACCUGUCAUUCUGGUAAUUGGCUCUGAAAUUUUCUGCAUAUCGCCAUGAUGAUCAUAAUAAGACAAUAUUUAUGAAGCGAGCAGUGACAGGCAAGUGUGGGGAAAUGGGGGAAAAAAGACACUUUCAUUAGGCUGGAAUAUUAAUGCGGCAACAGGGCUUUUGAGGGACUAAUAAAGCUUGUUCUCCUUGUUUUCACAGGUUACCACUCAUUAUGUGUAUGAGCCACACUAUAGACUGAGUGAGUGAGUUUCGAUUUGGUUUUAAUUGGGUCACCCUUUCCUCUCCUCUCUCCCCUCAUGCAGUCUUCCUGUUGAACUUAGUUUAAUUAGACCUACAAGAUUGUGACACUACCAGAAACAUAUUAUUUCUGCUAUGCCUUCAUUUCCAUUGAUGUUCUGUUUUUAGAAGUAUUGAUAAGACAAGCGAUGCAAUGACAUUUGCUAUUCUGCUGUAGUCAUUAAUGGCCCUCGACUUGGCGGUAGACUGCAAAGAAGCACCGAGAGAAA